ACGAACGCUGGCGGCGUGCCUAAUACAUGCAAGUCGAGCGAGCGGAACUAACAGAUUUACUUCGGUAAUGACGUUAGGAAAGCGAGCGGCGGAUGGGUGAGUAACACGUGGGGAACCUGCCCCAUAGUCUGGGAUACCACUUGGAAACAGGUGCUAAUACCGGAUAAGAAAGCAGAUCGCAUGAUCAGCUUUUAAAAGGCGGCGUAAGCUGUCGCUAUGGGAUGGCCCCGCGGUGCAUUAGCUAGUUGGUAAGGUAAAGGCUUACCAAGGCGAUGAUGCAUAGCCGAGUUGAGAGACUGAUCGGCCACAUUGGGACUGAG
rnacentral:rRNA from 1 species